rnacentral:rRNA from 1 species
CAGCAGCCACGGUAAUACGAAGGGUGCAAGCGUUAAUCGGAAUUACUGGGCGUAAAGCGUGCGUAGGCGGUGAGUUAAGUCUGCUGUGAAAUCCCCGGGCUCAACCUGGGAAUGGCAGUGGAUACUGGCUCGCUAGAGUGUGUCAGAGGAUGGUGGAAUUCCCGGUGUAGCGGUGAAAUGCGUAGAGAUCGGGAGGAACAUCAGUGGCGAAGGCGGCCAUCUGGGACAACACUGACGCUGAGGCACGAAAGCGUGGGAGCAAACAGGAUUAGAUACCCGCGUAGUCCCUGUCUCUUAUACA